rnacentral:lncRNA from 1 species
GUCGAUUUCAAUAUACCUACAUAUAAUGAAUAAUUAAGUCUUUCAGAUAACUUGUUAUUUUAAGAUGUUAUCAUAACCUUCGUGGUUAUUACAAAAAUCAUAUGUUACAGAUAUACAAGUAUGUAACACGACUGGUUGUCAUAUAGCUGCCUAUUUACCUCGAUUCCGACUUAAAUUAAAACAAUGUAUAAUGUAUAAAAAAACAAAAAAAUGAAUAAUGUAUAAAAAAAAAAACAAAAAAAAAAAACUGACUGUAGUUUUUACAAGAAAAGGUUUUAUUCGCAAAUAACAAUGCAACCCAACGACAUAAAUUACAAAAAUUAAAAAAAAAACCAGCUGGUGUCGGGCAUCCAUUUUUCAGCAAUAAACAGGUUUGCAUACAAAAUAAUAAACUUUAUAUAGUAUGGUAUCUAAAAUUUGUAAAUAUGUUAAACAAAUGAUACCAAAUAUUUACCAUCAAACUAAUUUCGGCUUAUUUUUAACUGAAGCAUAAACUUCAAGACAUAAAAUAAAACCAGCAAUGAGUUAUCGGAAUUUUUAUAGGGACAAGCAUAUAAUGAUAAAUUCAAUAGUGUUUUGUUUUAAUUCAAGACCCUCACAGUAUUUGUUUGUUAUGACGGAUUCGACAACUGGCUAUCAAUUUUGUUAUGUUAUGUGAAUUAACAGUGGGAGAAAAGGUGCUAUUUAGUUGAUGUAAUUAUCUCCUAAUUGCGUUUUAACUCAGGUCCUUGUACUUAACAUAAACAUACGUGAAUACUUGGGAAUAUGCUCCCAGGUUUACACAAUUUCUCCAUGCAUACACCAUCUAGACUACUAGCAAUCCUGUCUAUGCUUUCACCCGAAAGGAUAAUGUUACAUUGCAAUCUUUGCAAAUUCUUUGAAAUUUCAAUUUUCAUCAAUUUAUUUUCUAUUUAUUUUGGUCUAAAGUUUCAAUUCACAUUAAAUAAAUAAAAUGUCUUUUCACUACAUCAAUAUUUAUAAUGAAGCUUCGCAACAAACAAUUAGAAAAGUCGAAAUAUGUUUAUUUCAGUCUGGUAGUUACAAUGCAGAUUGCAAUCUCUUAGUUUCACCCCCUUUAUUUCAAGCAAUAAGAUGAUUCGCGCACAUAUUGUUUUUACACUUAAUUUUUCAGAUUCUUAAGAAUUUGUUUAUUAAAUCUUAUAUGGACCACAUACAAUGUUUAAAAAGGAAGAAAUGCUUAAAAGCUGUUUUUUCGCAGAUGGCGGUAUUUUGGGCAACUUAAUGCGUUGUUAUGAUUUGCUGUUUGAUUAGAAGUAAGCAUAAUUUUAGGGAAUUUUAUGAUGUCAAAAACUUCUUUGAUAGUCAUUACAGGGUUUUACUUAGUUUUAAUUGAUUAGCAUUUGCACCAGAAAGAC